rnacentral:rRNA from 1 species
UGGGGAAUAUUGGGCAAUGGGCGCAAGCCUGACCCAGCGACGCCGCGUGGGUGAUGAAGGCCUUCGGGUCGUAAACCACUGUCAGGAGGGAAGAACGGCGCCGGUUCGAACAGUUCCGGCGAUUGACGGUACCUCCAAAGGAAGCGCCGGCUAACUCCGUGCCAGCAGCCGCGGUAAGACGGAGGGCGCAAGCGUUGUUCGGAAUUACUGGGCGUAAAGCGCGGGCAGGCGGUCUGUUAAGUCGUUUGUGAAAAUCCGGGGCUCAACCCCGGAAAUGCAUACGAUACUGGCAGGCUGGAGACUGGUAGAGGCUAGCGGAAUUCCUGGUGUAGCGGUGGAAUGCGUAGAUAUCAGGAAGAACACCUGUGGCGAAGGCGGCUAGCUGGGCCAGUUCUGACGCUCAUCCGCGAAAGCGUGGGGAGCAAACAGGAUUAGAUACCCGCGUAGUCCCUGAGCGGGCUGGCAAGGCGCAU